GAUGAACGCUGGCGGCGUGCUUAACACAUGCAAGUCGAACGAAGCACUUUAUUUGAUUUCCUUCGGGACUGAUUAUUUUGUGACUGAGUGGCGGACGGGUGAGUAACGCGUGGGUAACCUGCCUUGUACAGGGGGAUAACAGUUGGAAACGGCUGCUAAUACCGCAUAAGCGCACAGCAUCGCAUGAUGCAGUGUGAAAAACUCCGGUGGUAUAAGAUGGACCCGCGUUGGAUUAGCUAGUUGGUGAGGUAACGGCCCACCAAGGCGACGAUCCAUAGCCGACCUGAGAGGGUGACCGGCCACAUUGGGACUGAGCCACGGCCCAAACUCCUACGGGAGGCAGCAGUGGGGAAUAUUGCACAAUGGGCGAAAGCCUGAUGCAGCGACGCCGCGUGAGCGAAGAAGUAUUUCGGUAUGUAAAGCUCUAUCAGCAGGGA
rnacentral:rRNA from 1 species